rnacentral:tRNA from 1 species
GCCUUCGUGGUGUAGUGGUCGGCAUGCUCGACUUGUAACCGUGAAGUCCAUGGUUCGAUUCCCGGCGAGGGUU